UACGUAGGAGGCGAGCGUUGUCCGGAUUUACUGGGCGUAAAGGGCGCGCAGGCGGCACGUCAAGUACCUCGUGAAAUCUCCCUGCUCAACGGGGAGGGAGCGAAGUAGACUGGCGAGCUAGAGGACGGUAGAGGGGGGUAGAACUGCUGGUGUAGCGGUGAAAUGCGUAGAGAUCAGCAAGAAUACCCGUGGCGAAGGCGGCCCCCUGGGCCGAACCUGACGCUGAGGCGCGAAGGCUAGGGGAGCGAACGGGAUUAGAUACCCCGGUAGUCCUAGCAGUAAACGAUGGCCACUAGGUGUGGGGGGUGUUGACCCCUUCCGUGCCGAAGCUAACGCAUUAAGUGGCCCGCCUGGGGAGUACGGUCGCAAGACUAAA
rnacentral:rRNA from 1 species